AGAAGGCAUGGUAGAUAGGUUGUCAGUUCUACAGAGGCUAAAAAUUAGCAUUUCCCCCCUUUCAGGAAUAUAAUAUCAUAAAACCCCAGGAAUGUGGUCGUUUCAUUAUCUUAUUUUUGUAGCACCGUCGUGCGGAACUGCGGUUAGACUGAGCAUGCCUAGAAAGAUACUGAAACCGCCCACCCUUAGUUUGACUUCAAGGAGGAACUAACGAGAUUACGUAGGGCUGUUCUCGGAAACUGUGAUCCAUGCCAGUAACGUGGCUAAGUCUCCUCCCCGGAAGAAAAGGGAAUUGUGUGUCUCUGCUGAGGAGAAUCCAGUCAACAAAAGCGGUUAUUUAACCUUUUGUUAAGACCACCCAAAAUAACAGUUUACAGGUCUUCGAGAUAUCCAGAACUAUUCUUCUGAAGGGUAAAAAAUACAAAAAAAGAGGACGGGGGGCAGAUCUUUCAGGCCUGGUAGGGUGCAACUUGACUCCUGCUUUGUUAUACUGCUUCAGACCAACACGGCUACCCACCUGGAUCUAGGCCUGUUAAAAAGAUCUGAAAAAGUCAAAAGCUUACACACUGCACUGAUUUUUUUUUUAAAGACCAAUUCUGCCGUUACACUGCAUUUAUCGUGGGACUUUGCUAUCCCUGGCUGGUAUCCUUUGCUCUUCGUAAUGUCGAAAAUAACGAAAAAAUCCAGCCUGUAAACAAAACGACCGUCAGUCCAGCCCUUUGUUACAUCUGUUACGGUCUAGCACGCUCCCUUAGAAGCUAGUUAAAUCUUUCUGCGCUUGGCAGACCGGAAGUUCAUCCUUGUGACCCAACGGAAGUGAUUUGGCAGGGCGACUGGCCCGGCUGGAAUCAGCGGGGGUUUUUGCGAAGCUGCCCCGUGAAUAUCUUCGGGCGCUGGCAGGGCGGAGUUCUUAUUACAAAAACUGCAGAAGUAAAGAAACAGCUAUUUGAUAAGGAGAAAA